AGGUGGGGUGUACCAAUGGCCCAUCCCUGCCACUACGUUGGCUGGGUAGAGUGAGAGCAUACACACUGGGACCCUAAAGAUGGUGAACUAUGACUGGGCAGGACGAAGCCAGAGGAAACUCUGGUGGAGGUCUGCAGCGAUUCUGAUGAUUAAUUUGAACAUCA